AAACCAUGACGAGGACAAUCUAAGAGGAUGUCUUUGAAAUGUUCCAUACAUUUAGAGAAUGAUUCAUUGGGUCUUUGAUGAAACUAAAAAAUGUCGUUCCUAAGCUU
rnacentral:snoRNA from 1 species